CGUAUUCCCAAGCUCCUCAAAAUUCCCUGUGCCCUCCUUAUUUACUUAAGUUCAUAGCCUUUUCUUCCAGGAGCUUCUGUUCUGAGCCAUGCUGGCCUGAGGUGGGGAAGCUUGGGAACUACUGAUGCAAAGUAUAGACCACAUAAUCACAAGGACAUCAGCACCAGAAGGUCAAGGGCUUGGUCCACUUCUGCAUCCCAGCACCAAGAAUGAGCCAGUGCUGCGUUGACAUGAGGACAUGUUGUCAAGACCCAGGGAGUCACCAAAAGGCUUAGAGCUUCCAGGCAUCUUGGUCUACACACUGUCCUUCAUCAGGCUUAUCAUUACUGUUCCUCAAAAAAAGCAAAACAGAGCCAAGACUAUGAUGAAGAUUUCACUGGAAUGCUUCCUUCAUGGCUGCAUUGUAUGGGGACAAGCUUCUACCAUUGAAACUAUGGUAUUUCAUCUAUUCACCUGCCUCUUUUACCAAUGAACCCUGAGUUCCUGAAGAUAGGGGACAGUUAAUCUUUAUAUCCCCAGCACCUAGCAUGGUGUCUAGAACACAGUAGAGACUCAAUAAAUGCUUGCCCAGGUACAUUUUAUGUCAUUUCAGAGUAAAUAGAAGUGAGCCCAGCUGAUUGGAUUCCUAGUAGUCUGUUAGUUUAUUUUUAGCCACAGUGCACCAAUUCCUACAGCUGUGAAACUAGGAAAACUGAGAAGAAAAUGAUGUACAAUGAUUUAUAUUGUGAUUUGAGGUAUUGAUAUAAUCUGUGAGAUUCAUCAAUUGCUCCUUGGCCAUAAAAUAGUUCUAUACCACUCUAGAGUAGUGUUCCCCAAACAGAGCUAUGAAAGAGCAUGUCCCCAGAUGAUGUAGUAAACUUGAUCCAUUGCAGUGGUGUUUGGGAGGGUCACAAUGUCUGUUAUAUGUAUUUGUAUCUAAUUCUUUCACCUUCUCAUUUUAAAAAAUAUUUUGGGACAUGCAUAAAAUAUUUAUGUAUAUACACAUGCACAUAUAAUAUACACAUAUAUACACAUAUACACGUAUAUGUGUUUCUGUAUAUGCAUGUGCACAUAUAAUAUUCAUGAUGUACUAGUGGAAUUUCAUGACCAAAAAUGUACAGUCACACUAGUUUAGAGAAUCGGACUAGAUGACACAAUGUUUUGCUAUUUCUUGUUAUGUGUAAGUUGGAUGAAAGAAAACAAACACUCAUUUAUUGAACUAAAAUUUAUGAGAAUUUUCUAUGCGCCGAACACUGUUUUCUAUGCGCCGAACAAGGUUCUAUGCGCCGAACCUUGGGCCUUUAUAGUGCUUGACAAAAUCUGUUGAAGUGACUUAAAUCUGGGUCAGUUGGAAUGCAUUUGGCUGCAUAUAACAAUAUGCAGCUAAUAGUAGCCUAAACAAAUAGGUCUUUGUUUUUCUUCUAAGUCUGGAGGUAGGCAGGCCCUUGCUAGUGUUGAUUUAACUGCUUACUGAUACCAUCAGGUGCUGAGAUUGCACUGUCCUUGUUAUAUUGGCUUUUCAUUCUUAUAUUUGUUGCCUCUUGAAACAAAAUGGCUUCCGCGUCUCCAUAAAUCAUUUUUCAUUCUACAUAAGAACAUAAGAGAAGGUAAUAAAAGACUGUGUCUGUUUUUAGGGGGAAAGCAAAAGCGUUUAUAGAAUCUCCCUCGGCAGACUUGGCCUUGCAUCCUUUUGGAAAAAACGGUCACAGGGCCACCUCUAACUGCAAGGGAAUCCGCAAAAUCAAACAUUUGGCUUUCUUGUUUCUAUGAUAUAUCAGGAAAAGGAAAGAAAAGUGGUUUGGGAAUGGAAGUAUUUAGAGAUUCAACCUAUAGUACCUGACUCAGGCACUGAAAAUAUGUUGCCUAAUAUUUUAGAUACUGGUGUGAACUAAUUUUAUUUCCUAUCAACCCAAAUGCUCCUUGAGACGAGAUAUGGCCUCCCUUCUCCUGCAAUAAAUAUUUGUUGACUGAAUGAAUCAAUAAAUGAGUUCAAUUCCAUCAGGACACCAUAAAUAUAGAUCCUUUCUAGUUUGCUCAAUCAGUUUCUGAGACACCGAAUCAAAUGAAAGUUAUUUUGCAAACCUCAGGAGGGAAGGUUUCCUGUUUUAAGCUCCUUGAGUUCCAUCAAACCCAACACCGCGCAAACAAUAGGUGUCCAAUUAAUGCUCCAUUCUGAGUGAAAAAAUAAAGUGAACUAGCUGGUCAUGUGGCAGUCCUACACUCCACCAUGAACGAGGCCACCAAUGAUAUCUGAACAUUUCAGAACAAUAAGAACAACAACAAAACUAGCUUUCUCAAUACUCAGAUACUUGAUCUUGGAUAUAUUAAGUCAACAGAUACUUAACUUUGGAAAACUUUCCAUUUCAUAAGCUUAGCACCAAUUUCACUAUGUUUCUGGUUUAAUGGUAUGAAUUUUCCAAUAAAGUCUCAAUUUAUAAUC